CUGUCUUACUGGAGACUUUCUUCUUCGUUUACAGAUGGAUUCUCUAGCCCGGCGAUUGUAGGGCUACCCAACAGUGACCAAGAGGCUCAUCCAAGUGAAGGUUCAUGGGGAGAGCUUGCAAUAGCCUCUAGACAUAAGAAGCAAAAGUCACUUUGCCCGGGGAUUACUCUGAACAAGUUUCCCCCAGGAACGCCCCUUCCCUGUUCAUAUUCCUGUUCUUUCCUCCACUGACAGAUUUCAUCUGCAAACAGGUUCAUGUGAAAGGCUCUUCCUCCCUCAGAGGCGGAGGUGCCUCCCCCUCACAGUCUCAAGCUAUCGCUUAUGACAUAAGCAUGCAGCUGACACACAUGCCACAGAGCUGCAGAGAAGGUUGAACAUUAAGCUCUGGACUAUGGGACCAGCACGAAUUCUCUACAUCCUGUGGGGAUUCCAGAACUCACCAAGCUAAGCUCAUGAAAACCAAGAGAAGACCGACCAGAGCGGAGCAGUCAGAGAGACCUGAAAGAUAAGCUGGUUCCCUGGACUAGAUUCUUGAACCUGCUUCUUAAGUUUCUUAGAUCUGAUGAAUGUGCCAUGCUUUUCUUUAAUCCUAAAACUACACAAGUAUGAAAAGCUUUAGAAACAUGAUUCUGAAAGGAUUGGCAUCCAGGGUGGCACCCAGAAGACGGAAACCCAGUGACAGCAGAAGACACAGAGCACCCUGGCAUUUCUGACGUGCUAUGCUCAGAGCCAAGCAUUGGCCCUCCAUGAGUACUGAAGUCUCACGACAAAUGUGUGCCGUGACAACCAAUUUCUGCAGCUUCUCUCGGAGAACGGAAGCGUAGAGGCGACACAACUGGCCCAAGGUCACACAGCUGGAAACGUUUUGAUGAAGCAGAAACUGGAGCGGUGAGGAAAACCGAUGAAGAGUUAUUAAAAGUCUUCCUCUUCGUGAAUGUCAUAGAGGAACAAAUGCUUGGUAGGUGAAAAGAAGAACGCAGGAGACGGUCGCAGAGCAAGGGGAAAUUCUGAAGGCUGAAGAGUUGUAUAGUUUCUGUUAACCAGUAAGUUUCUUUAGAGACUUCUCGGUACACACUCAGCUCCUUUCCAAUGUCUGGCACUACCUGAGAAGACUUCUACGUAAUGGAUACCAUCUCUGCGACCCAGGCUCUUUGCCAAAUAUAGAGAGAUUCCCAUCGGCCCCUGCGUUGACAAUAGUUGAUUAAAACAUCACUCUAUAUACAAA